CUCCAGACUCCUACGGGAGGCAGCAGUGGGGAAUAUUGCACAAUGGGGGAAACCCUGAUGCAGCGACGCCGCGUGAGUGAAGAAGUAUUUCGGUAUGUAAAGCUCUAUCAGCAGGAACGAGACAAGACGGUACCUGACUAAGAAGCCCCGGCUAACUACGUGCCAGCAGCCGCGGUAAUACGUAGGGGGCAAGCGUUAUCCGGAUUUACUGGGUGUAAAGGGGGCGCAGACGGCGAUGCAAGCCAGGAGUGAAAGCCCGGGGCCCAACCCCGGGACUGCUCUUGGAACUGCGUGGCUGGAGUGCAGGAGGGGCAGGCGGAAUUCCUGGUGUAGCGGUGAAAUGCGUAGAUAUCAGGAGGAACACCGGUGGCGAAGGCGGCCUGCUGGACUGCAACUGACGUUGAGGCCCGAAAGCGUGGGGAGCAAACAGGAUUAGAUACCCGAGUAAGC
rnacentral:rRNA from 1 species